CUCAGUUUGCCACAAGCCAAAAGCCCCUGUGGUGUGUGCAUCCCAUCUGCAGCACCUGCAGCUCAUUACACGCUGGGGCACGGGGCUGGGGCAGCCCCCACCCAGCACCAGGCAGCAGUGCUUCUCAGGGCUGCAGACAGAGCCCGUCCACAGCACUGUAGCAGCAAUAGAAGAGAUCCCUCCUCGAGCAGCUGAAAGCCAAAGAGCUGCCAGCUGUUCUCCCUUGCUGUGUCUCAGCAGCCUCCACGUUCCACCACAUCUUGCUUCAGCCUACAGCCCAGCAUUAAUCAAGCGGGCUGGAAGCGUCCUGUAUCAGCUCUGCAGAACAGAGCUUCAGUGAUUUACUGGCGGAUUCCUCCGGCUCCUGUUUUGCUUUCAUGCUGGAGCAGAGGUCAGCAGAGGCAGAUGCAUGCUUUCACUUUGUCUCGCAUUUGCUGCUGUCAGUCCAGCCCCGCUCGGUCCCUGCGGAGCAGCAGGAUGUGCUCGUGCUCUCAGCCCCGUGUGCUAAUUGAUUUUCGGGAGCCCAUUCAUCAGUUUAAUUUAGUGGAUCACCCACCAGGUUUGCUGUUCACUGUCAAAGGUAAUUCAAUUAAAACUCCCAAAGUGUGACUGACUGCUCCGCGUUAAAUGUGCUCAGCAGCUGUGCCGCCGCAUCUCCAUCCCACCGUGCCUGCAGACAGCCCCAGCCUGGGAGCGGGCCAUACCUUGGCCGAUUAACACGCACAGCAGUGCCAGAAAUUAAGUCCAAAUGCCUCCUUCUGUAUGCAACAGCAUGCAAAUGUGUCAACGCAGUAACUCCAGCAAAGGCAAAAGCCUCGAAAGUGGCAAAAGUCAACAGUGGGUACAACGGCUGAAUUCAAUCCGUGCAUCUUACUGAAACAGAACCACAGCGGGCUAACAGGCAUUAAUAAUUCUAACCCCACAAAUAUCUGUGGUGCAGAAAUGGAUGUAGGCGUGUUCUGUACAGAGAUAUCAAGUUCUUAAGUGCUUGCAGUGGGGUAAGGGGGCAGGGAGCACUGUGAUAUACGGCUGCUGCCAGGAGCCCUCCUCUCAUUGCCAUCAAAUCCCUCUCUUCUCCCGGCAUUAAUAAAUUAAGGCACCUGCUACACCAAUCAGCAGAAAUCUGGAAAAUCAUUAUGGCUUCGAUCCGGAAACGACGUCCAUCACGAGGGAACAAAUGAGGUCACAGCAAUUAGUCACGGCCGGCUCCGGGAGACUGGAACUAAUUUACAACACUCCAAAGGGUACGGGCAGCUUUCCUGCAGCCUGCAGACGGCGCUGGGCUCCAUCCAGGGUCGGAACCGAUGCAUCGUCAGCGAUCGGAGCGGUGCUCAGCAGCCAAUGUGGACCCACUCUGCAGCGAGAGGAGAGAAAUGAAGCACCGCCACCUCCGCCAAAGCAAACAUCCCAGCAGGAUGGCAGCGUCAUGUCAGAG
ensembl:lncRNA